rnacentral:rRNA from 1 species
UACGGAGGAUCCAAGCGUUAUCCGGAUUCAUUGGGUUUAAAGGGUCCGCAGGCGGGCCUAUAAGUCAGUGGUGAAAUCCUAUGGCUCAACCAUAGAACUGCCAUUGAAACUAUUUUACUAGAGUGCAGUUGAAGUGGGCGGAAUGUGUCAUGUAGCGGUGAAAUGCAUAGAUAUGACACAGAACACCGAUCGCGAAGGCAGCUCACUAAGCUGUAACUGACGCUCAUGCACGAAAGCGUGGGUAGCGAACAGG